rnacentral:rRNA from 1 species
GACGAACGCUGGCGGCGUGCUUAACACAUGCAAGUCGAACGGUGAAGGGACCAGCUUGCUGGUUCUGGAUGAGUGGCGAACGGGUGAGUAACACGUGAGUAACCUGCCCCCUUCUUCUGGAUAACCGCAUGAAAGUGUGGCUAAUACGGGAUAUUCUGGGUCUGUCGCAUGGCGGGCCCGGGAAAGAUAUUGCUUCGGUGGGGGAUGGGCUCGCGGACUAUCAGCUUGUUGGUGGGGUGAUGGCCUACCAAGGCGGUGACGGGUAGCCGGCCUGAGAGGGUGGACGGUUACACUUGAACUGAGACACGGCCCAGUCUCCGACGCGAGGCAGCGGUGGGGAGGAUUGCACAAUGGGCGCAAGCCUGAUGCAGCGACGCCGCGGGAGGGAUGGAGGCCUUCGGGAUGUAAACCUCUUUCGCCAGUGAAGCAGGCCUGCUCCUUGUGGGUGGGUUGACGGUAGCUGGAGAAGAAGCGCCGGCUAACUACGUG